GCCAGUGUGGUGUAGUGGUUUGAGUGUUGGACUAUGACUCUAUGACUCUGGAGACCAGGAUUCAAAUACCAGUUCAGCCA